UAGAGUUUGAUCAUGGCUCAGAUUGAACGCUGGCGGCAUGCCUAACACAUGCAAGUCGAACGGCAGCAUGACGUGUAGCAAUACACGUUGAUGGCGAGUGGCGGACGGGUGAGUAAUACGUAGGAAUCUGCCCAGUAGCGGGGGACRAACUUAGGGAAACUUAAGCUAAUACCGCAUACGCACUACGGUGGAAAGCAGGGGAUCGCRAAGACCUUGCACUAUUGGAUGAGCCUACGUCCGAUUAGCUAGUUGGUAGGGUAAUGGCCUACCKAAGGCGACGAUCGGUAGCUGGUUUGAGAGAACGACCAGCCACAUUGGGACUGAGACACGGCCCAAACUCCUACGGGAGGCAGCAGUGGGGAAUAUUGGACAAUGGGGGCAACCCUGRUCCMRCMAWKSCSGSGKGUGUGAAGAAGGCCUUCGGGUUGUAAAGCACCCUCGGUGGGGACAAACWAGGCGGAGCCAACAUCUCCGUCCCUGAUGGUACCCRAAGAAGRAGCWCCGGCUAACUCUGUGCCKGCKGCCGCGGKAAUAC
rnacentral:rRNA from 1 species